rnacentral:rRNA from 1 species
CCGGGAGCACUUGAAGAGGCUGUGGUAACCCGCAAGGGGGCUAGGUCUCRAUGGUGAACUUGGUGAUUGGGGUGAAGUCGUAACAAGGUAGCUGUAGGUGAACCUGCAGAAGGAUCA